rnacentral:rRNA from 1 species
UACGUAGGGUGCGAGCGUUAAUCGGAAUUACUGGGCGUAAAGCGUGCGCAGGCGGUUGUGUAAGACAGGUGUGAAAUCCCCGGGCUUAACCUGGGGACUGCGCUUGUGACUGCACGGCUAGAGUACGGCAGAGGGGGGUGGAAUUCCAUGUGUAGCAGUGAAAUGCGUAGAUAUGUGGAGGAACACCGAUGGCGAAGGCAGCCCCCUGGGCCGAUACUGACGCUCAUGCACGAAAGCGUGGGGAGCAAACAGG